GUGUAACGGUCGCUUGCUGCUUCCAGAUACAGCGUUCGCACUUGUCUGCCGUGUUUGACUUUUCGCUGUUCGUCCCAGCAUGCCCCAAGUGACAUUUUUGCUCUUAAUGUUAUUAGCGUGAUAUGCGACACUAUAAACUACAGUGAGCGUCAUCGGCUUCAGUACGACCAGACAGGUGUCAUGCGAUUGCGGCUCUGAUGCAGCUGCGAAGACCGCUUCAUCAUCCUUCACACGGAAAACACAGGUUCUCUAGAACCCGCAUAGCUCACCAGAGUACUCGUGGCGUGGAUCCGAAAAGCAUGUGAGUCCGUUGUGGAGUAGUUGUGCCUUUCAAUUCAUGUUUUGGUGAUAAUAUUGUGCUUCACGGAACGACAGCGAAGCAAUAUGUCAGACUCAACAAGCGCCUCCUGUAACGGGGGAUACACAAGAAAGGUGAGUGUCUGCGACAUAUGUGUGUAGUGAACUAAAUGAAUUAGUAAUGAUACAGUCCUCUGCAUCUCUAUACGUAGAAAACCAACUGAUGACAUGACUUCCACGGCUGCCCGGAAUGCUUCCUGUUUUCGUCAACCGUUUCUGCGAAGUCAGUGAGAAACUGCAUCGUGAAAUACAAAAUGUUUGGUCCAGAAGCGUGCAAUAAAAUAAUUCAUGUUUAUUUCAG